rnacentral:pre_miRNA from 1 species
CUUGUACUCCCUCCGUCCGAAAAUACUUGUCAUUGAAAUGGAUGUAUCUAGAGGUAUUUUAGUUCUAGACACAUCCAUUUUGAUGACAAGUAAUUCCGGACGGAGGGAGUACUUG